rnacentral:rRNA from 1 species
GACGGAGGAGGCUAGCGUUGUUCGGAAUUACUGGGCGUAAAGCGCGCGCAGGCGGCUUAGCAAGUCGGAUGUGAAAGCCCUGGGCUCAACCCAGGAAGUGCAUUCGAAACUGCAGAGCUGGAGUCCUGGAGAGGAAGGCGGAAUUCUCGGUGUAGAGGUGAAAUUCGUAGAUAUCGAGAGGAACACCGGUGGCGAAGGCGGCCUUCUGGACAGUGACUGACGCUGAGACGCGAAAGCGUGGGGAGCAAACAGG